UACGUAGGGGGCAAGCGUUGUCCGGAUUUAUUGGGCGUAAAGAGCUCGUAGGCGGUUCCGUAAGUCGUGAAGUCAAAUCUCUGGGCUCAACCCAGAAUCGCUUCCGAUACUGCGGUGACUGGAGUCCGGUAGGGGAGUGUGGAAUUCCUGGUGUAGCGGUGAAAUGCGCAGAUAUCAGGAGGAACACCGGUGGCGAAGGCGCCACUCUGGGCCGAAACUGACGCUGAGGAGCGAAAGCGUGGGUAGCAAACAGG
rnacentral:rRNA from 1 species